rnacentral:misc_RNA from 1 species
ACACAUGUUUAUAAGCUAGUGAUAGGUGAUCGUGAAAACUUCUAAUCGCUUAAAGCGACGAAACUGAAGGUAUUUUUCUCACACUACUGUAAAUAGGAAUGAGUAAAUAUAAGAAAAAUAAAUACAAAUCAAAGCCAAAAAAAAAUCGCCAAAAGGUUAAACCUGAUAAACGCGGAAAUAAAUCUUCUAACCUAAAGUAUUGCAAAUCCUGUAAUAAAUCAAAGAAUGGAGAUUAUUGUUCCAAAUGUGGAAGUCUAUUAAUUGAAGGUUUUUCUAUUCUUCCAAAUAAUCCUGUUCACCUUCCAUCUGAAUGCAAUGAGAAGUCUUCUUUAGAAAAUAAGGGUGAAGAUACAGUUUCUAAUAGCAUUGUUUUAAAUUCCAACGCUGUUGAAAAUGAAGAUCUAUGUAGUAAAACUCCAAUUAUUAAUAAAGAAGCCAAUGCCGCUAAUCUAUUUCCUCAAAACAGAAGAGAGGAGAAGCCUUCAAAUGAAAAAGAUAUUAAUAUUGGAUCGAAUUCAUUAAAAACAAAGACUGAAGAAAAGCAUUUGAAUGAGUUGAAUAAUUCAGAAAUAAAUCAAAAACCAAAACUUGAAAGUGAUUUAGUAGUUGAUGAAAAUGAUUUUUGUAAUUCUGGUGAAAAUGUGUUUAAUAAAAGUAUAUUCGAAAAUUCUGCACAAAAGUCACUUUCAUAUGGAAUAUCUAAAAAACAAAAUAAAACUGAUGAAAAAACAAUAUUAGAUUUAUCUAAGCAAAAACAUCAAAAUUCUACAGAUAAAAUUGUAUCCCCAGAUACAAACAACACAACAGAUUUAAAAAGUAAUCAAUCUGGAAAUCAAAAUGGUCAAGAGAGUUCAUACUCAGAUGUUACUAAAAAGAACACACCUCUAGAAGAAAAUAGCCAAUCAAAAACUCAGAAAAAUAGUAAUGUAAACAAAACUCAGGACCAGGCGAACAUGGUUAAAGAUCAGGAGCAGAAUAAAAACGAGAGUCCAGGAUAUAAUCAAUCUGGUAAUCAAAAUGAUCAAAAGAAUUUAUACUCAAAUGUUACUAAAAAGAAUACGCCUCUAGAAGAAAAUAGCCAAUCAAAAACUCAGGAGCAUAGUAAUGUAAACAAACCUCAGGACCAGGCAAACAUGGUUAAAGCUCAAGAACAGAAUGAAAACAAUAAUCCAGGAUAUCAGCAUCAGUUCCUUAAAAAUCAAAAUGAACCUGCUACACAAGAGCAGACCAAUCAAAAAGAAGAGAAGUUAUUUAAUUGCCAAUUGUUCAAAGUUGCGGUUAGUGAUUUUAACAUGAUUUCGAUAUGUUUUUAUGUUGUGGUACAAAACCCUGGUGACAAUCUUUAUGUAAUGUUUGGACAUGAAGGUCUUGGUAAUUGGAAACAACCUGCUGUUUGUAUGAGUUUUGACAGACAAACCCCAGUGGGAAAUCUUUACAAAGGAAAUCUAUUUUGCUCAAAAGAAAUGUUCAAAAAGAAUCCUGUUGAAUAUAAAUAUGUAAUAACUAGUAAACAGAAACCUAUUUGGGAACAUCUUGAAUUUGCUCCAGGUUCAACCGCACUUACUAAUCGUGUAUUGAUUAUAAGUAAAGACUUUUUAGAUAUUCUUGAUAAAGAUGACACAUUUUUUCAAGUUGAUGACCUAUAUUAUUCACAACAAAAUUCUCAGAAAGAAAAUAUGUCUUCAGUUAUUAAAAAUUUUUUUAAAAGUUAUUUUUCUAAAGGAAAUCAUCCAACAAAUGAAAUAUAUGUUACUAUUUUUGACAUGUAUGUUAGUUUACUUGAGGAUAUUACACAUAUAAUUGAAAGUUCAAUGUUUAUUAGAAGUUUGAUAUCAGGUUUUUAUCAUGCCUACUCUAUGACUGAAAAAAUUCAAGAACACUGGAAAAAAAUCAAGGAUAAUCAACCCAUUGUAGAGUUAUUCACAGCUAUUGAAAGAUGUUAUUCUAACUUUAAACAACCUGAGUUAUUUUUUCGCAGUUUAUCACUACUACUAAUCUUUUAUGAUGACCAUGAUUUAGUUAAUUUUGUGCCAAUCAAUUUCAUAUCAUUUAUUUUUGAAAAUUUAUCAUUGGAAAGUUUUAAUUGGUGUUAUGGUGAUAUAUUAAAAAAUCUAUUGCAAUGUUUUCCUGAAAAGUAUUUAAGGUUUAUUCAAUCUGCUUUGAGCUCAUUGCUGAAAAGUUGGUUUGAAAAAUAUAAAAAUUUAGAUGUGAAAGCUCAUGUUUGGUGUUAUGCAUUGUUAAUACUACAUGUUAUCUCUAAUGAAUCAAAUAAAAAGUUUAAAAUGAAUCAGAACAUAAACCCUUCUAACUGUGGUUUACCAAAUUUCAUUAAUAACAAAUAUCUUGAAAUUUAUAAGUUAACUCUAAAUAAUGUGCAUAAAGUUCAGGGAAGUUUACAGAAAGACAAGUUGCUUCAGAGAGGUAUUGCAUAUCUAAUGGAAUUGAAGUAUUUUACUGAAGCAUUAAAAACUGGAGUUUUUAGUGAACGUCUUCUGAUUAACAUGAUGACUCAUCGUAUGAAAUCAAGUACAUGUUCAAAUGUACUGAUUACCGAUUGUAAUAAUUUUUUAGAUGAAAUGCAAAAAUUGAAUUUUGUUGAAAAGAAGUUCAACAGAAGUCAUUUAGUUGAUGCAUUCAUUAAUAUGUUAGAUGGGUUAUUAAAUAUGUUAGAUAUUAAUGAUAACAGUUGCAGCUUGUUUUCUAAAAUACUUAAUUGUAUUAAUAAGUUUUACAAAAUGAUUGAUCCAUUUGAUAAAUAUUUACCAAAACUUAAUGAAACCAUUCAAAACCACAUACCAAAUGUUGUAAAAAUGCUUCGAAUUAAGUUUGAUGGAAAGCAGAGUUCAUGGAGUACACUGCCCAAUUUGAAAUCACAACUAAAGGUUAUAGAAGUGCUUGUGGAUUUAGAAAUUACAAAAGGAAAUGAAUUCAAAGAACUUGCAUUUGAUAUUUUGAAAAAUAAAAUUAAAAAUGCAGAAAAUAGUCUUUUGUUAGAAGCUUAUUGUCAAUUGGAUAUUUUAUCAUACAAAGAGCUGAUUCAGAAACCUUUUACAGAAUCAUUUUACUCUGCUAUUGAAGAAAUAUCACAGAAAAAGUAUGAAUGGUUAUCCAGAUUAUCUACAGAUUACAAUCCACUUUUGAUCAAAUUCAUUACAAAAAAAUGGGAAUGUUUAAACUCUAUAAAUGAAAAAAUAAAUUUUUGUCUUUCAUGGCCUCCUUUCAAAGUAUUAUUAGAUCACCUAGGAAAAAAAUCUAUAGAGGAAACAAAACUUUUAAUCCAUGAAGUCAAAUCAGUUUUUUAUCAUAUUUUUGAAAUUGUUAAUAAUGGCGAAAUUACAAUAGAUUUCUUAAUUAACCUAAAGAACAAAGAAGAAGUCUUAUUUGGUCUUAUGGAAGUAUUGAAAGUAGAUUUUUUUAAUGAUUUUAAAGUAAGAUAUGAGUUACGAUUGAAGGAAUUAUAUUAUUUCAAUAAAGGUAUAGAGGUUGUGAACUACACUCAUCAACUUUGCAAAGUGUUACUUCCAAGCACUGUUAACACUGAAGUGUUAGAGGAUUUAUCUUGUUCUAAUUGUUCAGUUCUAACUUUUAAAGAAAUUUUUGUGGAUAGUACUCCAGAUGUAACUUCUGAUUUUUUAGUUAUUGAUGAAUCUGUUAGUCGAAUUUUAUCAAAUGAUGAACUAGAAUUUGUUAACAAAGUGUGCAUGUACUUCAAAAUUUCUUUAAGGUGGUUUGAAUAUGCUUCUCACAUUACAGGUUGUAAAGUGAUGAGCAGUUUUUUGUUCAAAAAAGAAAUUCACUCAACUGCAAAAAAAUUUGAAGAAAGCAUGGUAAAAAUUGAUUACACUCAAUUAUUUGAUGAUAUUAUCCUACCAACAUUUGAAGAUUUAAAAAUUCUGUUUGAAAGCAUAGUUUCUUGUAAUAUAUCUCCAUCUGAUGUGAUUUUAUUAUUUUCUGAAUACAAUCAAUUUGACUACAAAAAAGAACUUUUUUUAUUGAAAAAGAUUUUAAAGUUAAAUUUUGAAGUAGACAUAGAAACCUGUGUUGAAAAAAUAAACUGUGUGUUUUUAAUGAAAAAAUAUUCUAACGUUGCAAGUGCAAUACAAAAAGUGAAAGAAAAUCUAGAAUUACAUGGAGAUUUUACUUCUGUUGAGAACAUGAUGAAACCCAUACAUAGAAUUAAAAGAUUGCAAGAUAUUGACAAAGAUUUAAAGCGCUUGGCUGAUUUCUUUGAAAAAUUUUCACCAAAUAUUUUCAAAAUAUUUGAUGCUAUUUCAUCAUGUCUAAAACUUUUUUUUUGGUUGAAAGAGAAUUUAAAAGAUCCAAAAGAAGUGAAAGUUUUUGUUGAAAUCAUGUCAAUAGCUGCAGGUGAAACUGAUUAUGAAGUUGACAGAGUAAAAUACUUUGAAGCUUGCUGUCUUGCUUUUAGCCACAUCAUAUUUGAUCUUAACAAAAAUUCUGGUUUUAAAGAUCUUUUGCAGGCAUGUGAACAAACUGAAAAAAUGAUGUUGAGUGAUGAUGAUAUUGUUAAAAAGCUGAUUGAUACAAAUCACAAUCUUGAGUGGUUUAAAAAUGCAAAAAAAUCACAAGGAUCAGUAGCAACAAAGUCUAUAAUGGAAGCUCAAGCUGCCAAUCGUAAAGGAUGUUUUGUUAUUGGAAAUCAAAAAAGUAGUUAUGUUGAGUUUUUAGAAUUUAGUCUUGCAGAUGUUAUAAAGUUCCAAAUAAAAAAUGAUGAUUCAACUGUAAAAGAUUACAGUUUAGAAGAAAUAAAUGAUUUGCAAAGUUGUUUGAUGUUGCUAGGAGCAAAUAUUAGUGAAAAAUCAAUUCAAGAAAUGACGAAGGAAAAAGAUUAUUUCGUUGCGGUUGUUGAAGUUGUAACAAGAUUGGGGUAUGCUUAUAUGUCUCUUUGUGAAGCUGGUGAUAUUAAAUUUAUACAAUGGGAAAAGACAUUUUAUUGUGAUAUUGAAUGUCAACGGGAAGUUUCCAUCAAUGAUUUGAUGUUAGAAUCUGAGAAAUUAGAGAAGCGAUUUACUGACUGGAAAGAAAAGUUAACAAAAUUCCGUUAUUUAAAUCCUAUCAUAAACUUUUUUUCAGUUAAACAAUGUCUCUUUAUGCAAAAACAAUUAUUUCUGCUGACCGAGGAUUUUAAAAAUGUUGAUAAGCUCUCUUCUCAGUUUUUUACUAUUCUUUACUUCUUUGCUAAUGAUAUCACUUUAAGAAAUAUUAAAUAUGCUUUUCAAUUGUCUUGCAAUUUAACUAUUGAUGAUGAAUCUCAACAAUGUAAAGCAAUCAGUAUUCAAUCAAAUUUUGAUAAAUACACAGCCAAUGAAAUUUUAAAAUUUGUCAACACACUUCAGAAAGUAUAUGAUAUAAGCGAAAAUGUUGCAUGGGCAUCUAUUAUAAAAGUUUUUCCAUAUCAUAAAGGAAAGGCUGCACUUUGGUGUAAAAAACAGGAUUCUGAAUGUAAAGAAAUUAAUGAGUUGGAGCAGAAAGCAAAAUUUAUGCUUCAGCAUUUGAAGUCAAAUAGAAGCUCAAAUUCAAAAAGCAAAGAUGAAAAAAAGCCAUAUUUAACAAUUGAUGAGCUUGGCAGAUUUUUAAACCAAUAUAAAGGCAUAACAAAUUUUCAGUUUUCUAAAAGGAUUGUUCCUCCAUAUCUAAACAAAGAUAAACCAAGCUUAAUAGUGUUGCCUCAUGAUGACAUCAUGUAUGCAGUUCUUGAGAUUUAUCUUUAUCAAGAUGGAGUUUUACCAACCUCAGAAGAAGUUCUACUUUGUGAUGAUUCUGUUUCAAUUGAAGAGAUUGAGCUGUUAAUAAUGCGAGCUGUAGGCAACAAAAAUGGCUUGUAUUGUUUGUUAAUCAAUGAAAAUCUUAAAUAUGAAACAUGCGAAAAAGUUUAUUUGUUCUUGCAAGAGACGAUUCAUAUAGGUAAUAUGAGUCCACUUGUAGUAUUUUGUAGCAAUGAAAGCCACCAUAAUUCAUACCUUGUAACAGCUCUUGACCAUUUUAAACUAAAAAUGGCAAGUUAUCUUAGUAGAGAUCAAAUUUGCACAAAACUUGCUCAGUGUCUCAAAAACAAACUUUCAGAUCAAAAGGCUGGAAUUAUUUUCAAUAAUUUAGUAUACAAAUCAAUUGUGGUUAAAUCAAUCAGAAGUGGAAUGGGGAAAUCAUUAUUUGUAGAAAAAUGUGGCUCACGACUUUCUUCUCAUUUGGUUGCUAAUUAUCAAACAAAUAUGAGUAAUAGUCAAAACAAAAACAGUGUUGCUAUUGUUUCUGUGCAUGGGACAGUGGUUAACACUGAUGCAAUAGUUGAAAGAUUACUUCAAUUUGAAGAAAAGCCUAACGCUUUUUUCCCUAGAUUAUAUCAUUUUGAUAUCUCAACAAUGGUUAGAGGCGGACUGGAUUCAUUUCUAUUUAACUUAGUUGUUCUGGGAUCAUUAAAAACAAGUACAGGAAAAGUGUGGAGAAUGAAUAACAAUGAUACAUGCAUCAUUGAAAUAACCAUAAACCAUUCUGAUGAACAAUCUGACAAUGGUUCCAGUAAAAAUCAAUGUUUCAGUGUAGUUGCUAACAUGCUACCAUGUAUUACAUGCAAUUCUCCCAAUGAAGUUUUAAGUGUGCUUCAUGGUCAAGAGAUAUAUACAAUGGUUUGGUAUUUUAAUGAAGAACAUAAAAAAUCCACCAUACAACGUGUUUGUCAGUAUUUAAAAUUGUAUGACACAAAUAAAUCGUUGUUAAAUACAUUUACUUACAAUCCAACUCAUCCCACUAUAAAUCUUAAAACUUGUUUAAAGAUAUUAUUAAAAUAUUGUGGAGUGAAAGAUCCUUGUUGGAGUGAAGUAAGAAAUUUUGUUCACUUUUUUAAUACACAGCUUAUGGACUGUGAGCAAAGCAUUUUCACAAGCCAUCAUGUUGAUGAAGAUUUAAGAGGAUUCAAAACUUUUGUUAUUAACUUCCUGUUAGAAAUGGCACAAGAUUUCUCAACUCGCUCAAUAUCGUUGGAUAGUUAUUAUAGUUCUAGAGAGCUAAUGGUUCAUCUUAAAAGAAAAUGGGAACACAGUUCUCAUCCAUACUUAUUUUUCAACCAAGACCAUGUCACUAUGACAUUCUUUGGAUUUAACAUUGAUUUAAAUGGUAACUUACUUGACCCAGAUCGUAAAACUAUAAUAAAACAGGGUAUUAUGACAAAAGAUCUUUAUGCUGAUCUGUGUCGUCAGAUGCGUGGUAAUGAAUGGGGAUGUUUGAACACCAAUUACAAAAAUUUAUCACGAAAAUCAAAGUUAGAUAUACUUUGUCGUGUGAUUGGUGUGGAAAGUUUUGAUCCAGACCCUUCAUAUGAGUUGACUGUUGACAAUAUGAAGAAAAUUCUUGCCAUUCAUAUGAGAUUAAGAUGUAUUAUUCCAGUGAUAAUGAUGGGAGAAACAGGGUGUGGUAAAACAAAAUUAAUUAAGUUUAUGUGUGCCCUGCGAGCUGGAAAAAAAAAUGUUCAAAACAUGUUACUUGUUAAGGUUCACGGAGGUGUGACUCAUCAAGACAUACUUACACGAAUUGAACAAGCGAAAUGUUUAGCAAAGGAAAACUAUAGAUAUUACAAGAUAAAUACAAUUUUGUUUUUCGAUGAAGCUAAUACAUCUGAUGCAAUAGGAUUAAUCAAAGAAAUAAUGGUAGAUAAAAGAGCAGAUGGUCAACCAUUAGGAUUAGCUGAAUGUAACCUUGAAAUAAUUGCCGCUUGUAAUCCAUACAAGAAGCAUUCAGCAAAUAUGAUAAAAAAGUUGGAAUCUGCUGGUUUGGGGUAUCAUGUAAAUUUAAAGUCUACUUAUGAAAGAAUUGGUGAUAUUCCAUUAAGGCAAUUAGUUUAUCGUGUACAUCCUUUACCAAAUAGCAUGAUUCCACUUGUUUGGGACUUUGGUCAAUUGGAUUCUGAGACUGAAGAAGCCUAUGCAAGACAAAUAAUCUUAAGAUAUGUAAAUGAAGGCAAGUUACCUGAUGAUAAUCUGUUUUUUGAGUUAAUUGUUUGUGUGCUUAAAAAAUCCCAAGCAUAUAUGAGAUGGCAAAAGGAUGAGUGCAGUUUUGUCAGUUUGAGAGACGUGGAAAGGGCAUUAUUAGUAACAAGUUGGUUUUACGAGAGAAUUGACCUAUUUAUUGCUGAUGAUGAGUUAACUUUUUAUAACAAAAUGCAAUUGGCAAUAAUUUACUCAUUAAGCGUAUGUUAUAUUGCAAAAUUAGAAGAUCGUGAUUCUUAUCGGGAAUAUAUUUCUAAGUUUUUUACUGGUCAUUUUAAAUUGAGAAAUGGUGCUCAAGAAAUUAAAGACAAAGUUGUUAGUCUUCAAAGAAAAUUUUUGCGUGAAAUAAAGCUUGAAGAUAAUAUUGCACAAAAUGAGGCUUUAUGUGAGAAUGUGUUUAUGAUGGUUGUUUGCAUUGAAUUGCGUAUCCCUUUAUUUGUUGUUGGAAAACCUGGAAGUUCAAAGUCUUUAGCGAAAUCUAUCAUUCAAGAUUGUAUGCAAGGAAACAUGUCAAAGUCAUAUUUGUUUAAAAAUUUUAAGCAGAUUUUUAUGUCUUCAUAUCAAUGUAGUCCUCUCUCAACAGCAGAUGGAAUAAUAAAUACAUUCAAACAGUGUAGUCGAUUUCAGGAAGGUAAAGAUCUUGAAACUUUUGCUUCCGUUGUUGUACUAGAUGAGGUUGGUCUUGCAGAAGAUUCUCCACGUAUGCCUCUUAAAGCAUUGCAUCCAUUAUUAGAAGAUGGCACUGAUGGUUCUGAAGAACUUACACUUGAUGGUUUGUCUCUUAAAAAUAAAAGAGUGGCAUUUAUUGGUAUUUCAAACUGGUCCCUUGAUCCUGCAAAAAUGAAUAGAGGAGUUAUGCUAUAUAGAGGGCAGCCUGAUUUUAAUGAGCUUGUUGAAACUGCAAGAAAUAUAUGUUCAAACGAUGAGUACGUUUUUGGAAAAAUUGCAUCCUUAUUCGAACCUUUAACAAAUGGAUACUUAAAAGUUUAUAAAAAGCAAAAUAGUUGUGAUAUUAUAAAAAAAUACAGCAAAGAAGAAUUUUUUGGUUUAAGAGAUUUUUACAGUUUGUUAAAGUUGGUAUUCUGCUUUGCUCGAAAACGCCAAAGUACUCCUACACUUUCAGAUAUUGAGCAUGCAGUCAAAAGAAAUUUUAGUGGACUUCAAGAACUGGACACAUGGAGUAUUUUUAAAUCAUGUCUUCCAUAUGAAUUUUCUGAGUUAAAAGAUACAGAUUUGGAUAAAUCUGUGUUGCAUUUAAUUGGUGAUAGUUUUGCUGAUAGUUGUCCAUGUUAUGAAUAUCGUUUUAAUCUUAAAAAGACAGAAAAAGCACAUUGUUUAAGUUCUCGUUAUCUUCUAUUAAUGACAGAUAAUUAUUCUGCUUUACCAAUUAUUGAACAGUAUUAUUUAAAGACCAAUCAAAAUUUAAAAACCAAUCCAAGUUCACAAACCUAUCAAAAUUGUAUCAUUUUUGGAAGUAGUUUUCCUAAAGACCAGCAGUUUACUCAGAUUUGUCGUGAUAUAAAUAGAAUCAAGAUAUGUAUGGAGACUGGUGCUCGAGUUGUAUUGUUAAACAUGGAAAAUUUAUAUGAAAGUCUUUAUGAUACAUUGAACCAGUAUUAUGUUUCACUUGGAGGAAAAAACUAUGUAGACUUAGGCAUUGGAUCUCACAGAGUUAAAUGUAGAGUGCAUGAAAAUUUUAGACUUAUAGUGAUUGCAAAUAAAGAAAAUGUGUACAAAAAUUUCCCAAUACCAUUAAUAAAUAGAUUAGAGAAGCAUUUUUUAACUGUAUUAAAUGGAAUGGAACAUUCUCAGAUAGAACUUGCUGAGAAGCUUAAAAAAUGGGCUUCAGAUUUUUCUAGCAUAAACUCAUCAAAAUAUGACUUUAAGCCAUCAGAUUCAUUUAUUGGGUACAGUGAAGAUAUUUGUGCUUCUAUUAUAAUUAAACUUUAUCAAAAGUAUGUUGGGACUGGUGAAGUUGGUGAGGUUGAUCAUGAUAAGAUUUUUGAAGAAAGUUGUCAUGUUUUAUUAAAACUAGCUACUCCUGAUUCUUUAUUGCGUGUUGUGAAAACAUGUUUAAGAGAUCAUUUUGAAUACUAUUGGAAUGUUUAUUUUGUUGAGCAGUUUCAUGACUCUUUGGCUGCUUAUCUUAUCAAUGAACUUAAUAAUACAAAUAGUAAAUUUAUGCAGGUUACAACAUUUUCAAGACUUUUAUCUCCAACUGACAAAGAGAAUUUAAAAGUUGAAUUAAAUGAUUUUAAAAUUGAGAUGAUUUCUCUUAUGCAGUUUCAAACAGAAAAAUCAUUCAGGGAUUGUCUAAGAGUUGUGUGUAAUUCUGAAAGUAAUAAGAAACAGCUUCUUAUUAUUCAAGCAAAUAAUUCUCAGGAAAGGAGCAAUUUAAUUGCAUGUGCGCAAUACAUUUGUAAAGAACUACAAGAACAGUUCAAAUUAAAGAACAUAUCUAUUUUAUUUAUCUUGCAGUUGAACUAUAAAGCUAAGCGGUUAGACUUAUUGAGUUCAGUGUCAUUCUGGGAAUGCUGCCAUAUUGAUGAGUUACGUAGUUCAAACUUGCCUUAUCUUAUAAAAUAUUACGGAAAAUCUUUGAAAGAAAUAAUUAGCCUUGAUGAUCUAAAACCAAAAAUGAUUCAACUAAUAUUAGGAUGUGUACAAAUGACUAUUCGACGUUUAAGUGAAAUGAAGCAAAUGACUGUUGAAGAAAUAUCACAGCGAAUUGAUAUUUUAACAAAUCUUUUAACAAGUAAACCUGAUGAUAUUCGAUACAUGUUUAUCACAACUGUAUUAGAGCUGAUAGAAACUGGCUUAGCUGCAGAAGAAAGCAAAUGGCAUCCUGAUUAUGUUACAAAUUGGAUACAAAAUGAAGCAAUAGAACAAAAAUAUCAACCAUCAUAUGGAACAUUUAAACAUGCAUUGUUCUGUUAUUUGGAAGAUCGCAUUGUGCCAGUUUUCACAUCCAUUGUUUCUAGUAUAGAUAGAUAUCAUAAUCUUGAAAUUCUAUACAACGAACCAGAAUAUACAAAGCUGUGGCUUGAAUUAUUUUAUAAAUCCACAGUUAACUCUAACAUUGCAUCAUGUAAAUUAUUGGAUCAAUACUUUUUUUGCAAAUUUCCAUUUUCAUUCAGGGUUGUUAAAGAAAUUGAUGAUGUAUUACAAAAUUGCAUACAACCAGAUGCUACACAUGAAACUCAUGAGUACAAACAUAUUUAUGACACAGUAACAUCAUUACCAAUGGCAAGUGUGAUAAUGAGGUCAACAACUAUAGAAGUAGAUAGUUAUUUAUUUGACUUACUGCGUUUAAAGUAUCCUGAUCAUUUGCAAAGUUCUAACAAAGGCCUAUACUCUUACCAAAUUUUGGCAUUUGGUUUGAUGUCCUUUAUGAAAUUGGUUAUUAUUUCAAGAAAUAAAUAUUUUAAUGCUUGUGGUAUAAAACUAAAUGAUAUAAUUAACAAUACCAACUGUGAUAUAGUGUCUAUACAUAUUGCUUUGAACACUAAAGUAUUUGCAGAAAGACUCAAAAGUAUUUCAUCGAUGCUUAUCCUUCAACCAAAUUUAAAAAAAACUACAUUAGGUCAAGAAUCAGAAAUUGAUAUAGAUGUAUAUUUGAUGAUUCAUUUUCUAUCUCAUCUUGCUUCUAAAAGCUUCUGUCCUGGUGUCAUUGAGAAAAUUAGAAAAACAAAAGUAUUGAUUGAUUGCGUUCUUGAGUCUGCAAUUAAAUGUAAAUGCAAUGAUGUAACAAAAGAAAUGGUGAAACAAUUGCAAAUUCGUUGGUGUAGUUUUAGAAUCUGUCAAAAGUUUUCAGAUGUUGUGUUUCAAACCUCAACCAGUUUUUGCGACCAUGAAAUUUAUUUGUUGAGAUCACUGUGGAAGAAAUUGGAAACUCUUCCAAAUGAUAUGCUGACCUGUGAGUCAUGGAUUAUAAUUGACAAAUUUUUAAAAGAAUCUCUUGCAAUGGAUUUUUCUAACAUGAUUUUAAAAAAAGAAGAAUUCAAGAAGCGAUGUAUUUCAUUUUAUGCUGAAAUUGUUGCUGAGUUUUGUUUUUCAAGAAAGGAUUUUGAUAGAGUGGAUACAAAUGUCAUUAAGAAUAUUCUGGAUUAUGUUUUUUCUUCAAAAACCACUAAAUUAUUUUCACCAAUACCAGAUUAUGCACUUGAUCCAACUCCUGUCAUUCGCUCAUUUUUACUCCAACAACUUCUUCAAAGGAAUUACAACGAAGUUCAAAAAUACCUCAAACGCCAUUUAGCUAUGCUAUUUUCACAUGCAGAUCAAAGUCAGCUUUUUGAAGUAGCAAAUGUUUUUAUAUAUUGCAUGGAGUUGUGUUGUAGUGAUUGAGCAGUUGUUCUAUACCCACAUCGACCCGGUUUACCUCCACAGUGGCUUUGUUUGUCAAGGACAAAAAGGAAUCGGAUCUUUCUACAUUAACAAAGGAGACUGUUAUCAACUUGGCUCUACUUGAGUAUGUUUCAGAUGAAUUAGUUGUUGGAUACAAUUUUGUUCAAUCAGUCAAGCCUGGAGAGUCUUUA